GGUCCUGACUAGCUCAACUGGUAGAGCAUGGCAUUAACGUAGCCGAGGGGUUUGAUUCCCACUGGGACCA